CGAGCUGAUCCCACACAAAGGUGUUGAGCUUAUUUUGUAAAUAAUUUAUGUUCGCUUGAAGUUAUGAAUUAGAACAUAAUGUCAUUUAAGUUAUUUGUUGUUUGGGAUAUACAUUUUGGUGUUUUUUUUUUCUCUCUCUCUUUUGAAUUGUUUUUAAUAUUGCCAUGUCGUGGCACUUACAGAAACAGCUAAUUGGUUUUGAUUUUUUGCUAUUGUUAACGGCUGCACGGUAAUCGAUAGUUGAUUUAAUAAUCUGAAAUUGAUAUUUAAUAAAGUUUCUUCAUUUUUUUGGCAAUCAAAUAUUUCUUCUUAUUGUUAUUCUGAAUUGUGCACAUUAUGUUUAAUAGUUACUCAGAGUAUUUGUAUCAUUUGAUAAAUCUUAGGGCGUUGGUUAAAU
rnacentral:lncRNA from 1 species